rnacentral:rRNA from 1 species
ACAGGUGGUGCAUGGUUGUCGUCAGCUCGUGUCGUGAGAUGUUGGGUUAAGUCCCGCAACGAGCGCAACCCCUACGUUUAGUUGCUAACGCGUGAAGGCGAGCACUCUAGACGAACUGCCGUUGACAAAACGGAGGAAGGUGGGGAUGACGUCAAAUCAUCAUGCCCCUUAUGUUCUGGGCUACACACGUGCUACAAUGGCCGGUACAGACGGAGGCGAAGCCGCGAGGCGGAGCAAAUCCGAAAAAGCCGGUCUCAGUUCGGAUUGCAGGCUGCAAUUCGCCUGCAUGAAGUCGGAAUCGCUAGUAAUCGCAGGUCAGCAUACUGCGGUGAAUACGUUCCCGGGCCUU